UGCGUAGGCGGAUCAAUAAGUCAGUGGUGAAAUCUCUCGGCUCAACCGGGAAACUGCCAUUGAUACUGUUGAUCUUGAGUUCGGUUGAGGUAGGCGGAAUGUGUAAUGUAGCGGUGAAAUGCUUAGAUAUUACACAGAACACCAAUUGCGUAGGCAACUUACUAGACCGACACUGACGCUGAGGCACGAAAGCGUGGGGAGCGAACAGGAUUAGAUACCCUGGUAGUCC
rnacentral:rRNA from 1 species